rnacentral:rRNA from 1 species
CGUUCCCGGGUCUUGUACACACCGCCCGUCAAGCCACCUGAGUCGGUGGUACCCGAAAUCGUCUAUCUAACCGCAAGGAGGAAGACGCUGAAGGUAAAACCGGUGAGGAGGGCU